rnacentral:rRNA from 1 species
AUUGAACGCUGGAGGCAGGCCUAACACAUGCAAGUCGAGGGCAGCGGCGGACGGGUGAGUAAUGUCUGGGAAACUGCCUGAUGGAGGGGGAUAACUACGGGAAAAGGGCGCUAAUACCGCAUACUAUCAGAUGAGCCUAGGUCGGAUUAGAUAGUGGGUGGGGUAAAGGCCUACCAAGGCGACGAUCCGUAACUGGUCUGAGAGGAUGAUCAGUCACACUGGAACGGAGACACGGCCCAGACUCCUACGGGAGGCAGCAGUGGGGAAUAUUGGACAAUGGGCGAAAGCCUGAUCCAGCCAUGCCGCUUGUGUGAAGAAGGUCUUCGGAUUGUAAAGCACUUUAAGUUGGGAGGCGUUACCCGCAGAAGAAGCACCGGCUAACUCCGUGCCAGCAGCCGCGGUAAUUC